rnacentral:misc_RNA from 2 species
AUUUCCCCAAUGGGUUCUCCGGAUUUCUGGAGACUUGUAGGGGUUGUGGGAUUUUUGAUGUGUCGUCUCCGGACGGGCGGUGCAGGGUAGUCGAGUUAGACUUGGUGGAGUUCCGUCGAGUCUGGUCGGCUGUGUGUUGGACGGUGCAGGGUAGGCUGCUUGGAGAUGGUCGGUUCGAGGAUCGAUUCGAGGGCCGGCCUGUCGAUGGUGUGUGAUGUAUGCGGUCUAGGGUAGGCUGGUUUGUCUUGGUUCAAUUUGAUGUCGCCUCCCGUGCAGGCCAGAGUGAGGAGGGUCCAGGGUAGGUACAGGGUAGGCAGCUUAGAUUUGGUUGAUCUGGAGGUCGAUUCUCCGGCUGGCGGAUCUGACACUGUCGAAACGAGAUGCGAGCGGUGUAGGGUAGGCUAGUUUCGUCCUCGCCAGGUUGCGAUUUGGACGAGAUGUGUGGUUUAGGGUAGGCUCUAGGGUAAGUAGAACUCGAGUUUCGUCGCCGACAGUUUUCUGUGGGUGUAUGGUAGGUACAGGGUAGGCAAAUCUCUCUCCGGCCAGUACUUGUCUGGUGGUCGUGAGUCGAUUUUUUUGUUUU